CGUGAGCCCGGCCCGCGUCCUUCGGACCGGCCCGAGCCCAGACUACGUCGGCCGGUGCUUCACGCGUCUCGGCCGCCUGAGCCACUGCGAAAGCGCGGCGUCCAACCGGAAGUAGCUGCUUGGACCCUGCACGCAGGGUAGGAAGGAGAGUCCUUUUACUCACAGCUUCCGAGCCUCCCUUCAGAGUCUUCGGGAUCCGUCCUCCGGGCCGGGAAGGCCCCGCCGUUCGUUACUGCCCACUUCUCGCCGAGUGCCCUACCUCUCCAGGCGGCCGAACCCACGGAGAGGACGGCCAGAACCUCCCGAAGGCUGGCCGGAGGGCGGCCGGCCCCGCCCGGCCCCGGAGGCCUCCGGCAUCCCGUGACGUCACGCGGGAGUUCCCGCGGCGUCACGCCCCUUCCCCCCCAAGCCGCGGGGCGGCGGCUGAGCUGGUUGGUGGGUGGGAAAUGCUUCCGAGAGGAGCUUCCCGACUCUGGCAGCGUUUGUGGAAUUGUCUGGAAAAUAAGCCAUCUGUUGGGAACUUGACCACGAGCCCCUGGGUUGGGCGAAGUUAGCCUGGAGUGUUCUGUGACUCCCGCACGUUUCGUGGCGGGCCUGAGCUGUACCAACUUAGGGAUGAGAUGGAAGGAUGUGGGGAUGGAUAGGCUCAUCCUUAGUUUUCAGCUUUAUAGCCAUUGCCUAUAGUGUAGGAAUGGGUACCUGAGAGG
rnacentral:lncRNA from 1 species